AUUGAACGCUGGCGGCAGGCCUAACACAUGCAAGUCGAACGGUAGCACAGAGGAGCUUGCUCCUUGGGUGACGAGUGGCGGACGGGUGAGUAAUGUCUGGGAAGCUGCCUGAUGGAGGGGGAUAACUACUGGAAACGGUAGCUAAUACCGCAUAACGUCGCAAGACCAAAGCGGGGGACCUUCGGGCCUCUUGCCAUCAGAUGUGCCCAGAUGGGAUUAGCUAGUAGGUGGGGUAAUGGCUCACCUAGGCGACGAUCCCUAGCUGGGCUGAGAGGAGACCCGCCAAAACGGAAACUGAGCAACGGUCAAGACUCCACGGGGGGGAAGCAGUGGGAAAAAUGGAAAAAUGGGGGCAAGCUGAAUGCGGCCAGGCGGCGUGUAUAAGGAAGGCCUUCGGGUGUUAAGUACUUUCAGCGGGGAGGAAGGUGAUACGGUUAAUAACCGUGUCAAUUGACGUUACCCGCAGAAGAAGCACCGGCUAACUCCGUGCCAGCCGCCGCGGUAA
rnacentral:rRNA from 1 species